rnacentral:rRNA from 1 species
AGUGAACGCUGGCGGUAGGCCUAACACAUGCAAGUCGAACGGCAGCACAGAAAGAGCUUGCUCUUACGGGUGGCGAGUGGCGGACGGGUGAGGAAUACAUCGGAAUCUACUUUUUCGUGGGGGAUAACGUAGGGAAACUUACGCUAAUACCGCAUACGACCUACGGGUGAAAGCAGGGGAUCUUCGGACCUUGCGCGAUUGAAUGAGCCGAUGUCGGAUUAGCUAGUUGGCGGGGUAAAGGCCCACCAAGGCGACGAUCCGUAGCUGGUCUGAGAGGAUGAUCAGCCACACUGGAACUGAGACACGGUCCAGACUCCUACGGGAGGCAGCAGUGGGGAAUAUUGGACAAUGGGCGCAAGCCUGAUCCAGCCAUACCGCGUGGGUGAAGAAGGCCUUCGGGUUGUAAAGCCCUUUUGUUGGGAAAGAAAAGCAGCAGGUUAAUACCCCGCUGUUCUGACGGUACCCAAAGAAUAAGCACCGGCUAACGUCGUG